AUGGGGGAAAAGGUGGGCUUGCAGUCGCCAUUUGUGGUCCUGCACUCCUGUUCUGCCACAGCCCGCAGGAUAAGAAACAUGCUCCCCGUGCUCAUCGCCGGUGCCUCUGCGCCGCCGCGUCCCUUCUCCCCCUGGCGCCGCCGCGAGCUACCCAUCCGGCUGUCCUCGUCCAAACCUCUCCGUGCCCUGCAGAACAGCGAGGGCGGUAGUAGGCCCCUAGGGCGCGCCUGGCCGGCCGUCUCCGCUGCCCUCUUCGGCUCGGGGUUCCUCCUCGGGCCGCUCCUGGACGGCAUCCACUCCCGCGUCGGCCUCCAGGUGUACGGAAACGGCGCCCUCGACCUGGGCCCCCUCCACACCCACAUCCUGGUGCCGCCCCUGCUCGGAGCGUUCUACUGCACCGUGGGGCUGCUCCAGCUCUUCCUGGACGAGAGGGCGCCCCCCAGGUCCAAGGCCACCGGCAGCCCCCGCGACACGGCGACGUCGCUAAUAGUCCUCACCAUGUUCAUCGAGCUGAGCGCGGAGAUGUACAGAGCGGGGGUGCCGAGCAACGCGGAGGCGUACGUGCUGUUCGCCGUGGCGGAGUUCGUGUGGCUCUUCCUCGACAGCUCCUGGCUCGGCUUCGCCCUGGCCUGCCUCGUCGGCGUCGCCUGCCCUCUCGCCGAGGUCCCGCUCGUCAGAUUGCUCGAAUGCUGGAGCUAUCCCAAUGCCGACGUCCAGCUGUUUGGCACCGGGCUGAUGAGCUGGACGACGACAUGCUACUUCGUGUACACGCCUUUCCUGGCGAAUCUGGCGAGAUUGCUCAAGUCGCGGCUGGCGGACGAUAACACGGAGGGAAAGGAAGAAUGA
rnacentral:rRNA from 1 species